rnacentral:lncRNA from 1 species
UUUCACCGAGGUGAGUAAAUGGUAAAGGUUUUAUUUUCGAUAAAAGGAUUUGUUAUAAAUUAUACUCCAUUGGUCUUUUUGUGUUUUUCUACCCACCUUUACCUCCGUGACGGUGAGAUAUCGUGAUGUCUUUACUGGGUUAGUGUAGCUCAUUCCUUAUUUAAUCAUUUCAGAUCAAGAGGACAUCGUUCCCGAGCCGCUUCCGCAGGAGGACGAC